rnacentral:tRNA from 1 species
UCCUUGGAGGUCCAGUGGUUAAGACUCUAUGCUUCCAAUGCAGGGGGCACAGGUUUGAUUCCUGGUCAGGGAA